rnacentral:rRNA from 1 species
UACAGAGGGGGCAAGCGUUAUUCGGAAUUAUUGGGCGUAAAGGGCGCGUAGGCGGCUUUGCAAGUGACGGGUGAAAUCCCUCGGCUUAACCGAGGAACUGCCUGUCAAAACUGCAUGGCUUGAGACCGGGAGAGGGAUGUGGAAUUCCAGGUGUAGCGGUGAAAUGCGUAGAUAUCUGGAGGAACAUCGGUGGCGAAGGCGGCAUCCUGGACCGGUAUUGACGCUGAGGCGCGAAAGCCAGGGGAGCAAACGGG